GCCGCGGUACCUGUGCCCUGGCCCGGGGCCAACCGGUGGCCGGGCGCGCGCGCGGGGGGGGGUCACCGUUGGACCCUCGGAGGACAAUGGGCGCCCAUUGUUACCUCCCCAGCGCCACCCCCCAGUAGGCGACUUCUCUCGGAGAAGAUGCCGCUUUCGACUCCCUAAGCACAAAGAAAGGUCGCCGGACGCUCGGUUUAAAGAGGGACCCGGAGGUGCUGCCGCCCGGGUGCACGGGGACAAUAGGACUCCGCCCGCACCCCGGACUCCCGCACUAAAACUCGUGCGCCCACCUCUCCCGAUCCCAACAGGCCGACCUAGCUGUGCGAGUGGCGGGCGGUGACCCGCAGGGAAGCGAGGCCACCUGAGUGCGCCGCCCCGGCCAGGCCGCAGCUCCCCAGGUCCCUCUCAGCCCGGGCUCCGGUGGGCGCGGAGGGGGAGGGUCGCGUUCUGUCAGUUUCUAGCUCGCUCCCCUCAGAGCUGCAGCCAAAACCCGGAGAGUGGAAUAAGCGCCCUGAAGAUGCCGGAGCUCCCGGCUGAGCAACUGGACACGCGACGAACAGCAGACGCUACAGGUUCUCCUACCCAGAGGGAGGCGUUUCUUCUCCCUCAGGGUCUUUCAAAAGGAUUUGCCUAAAGCUGGGGCAAGCCGGUGGCGGCUGCCCCAGACGCGCGACGAGGCGCAAGUGGCGCAGCUGCCGGCCCGAGAGAGUAAAAUUCAGGCCGCGGUGGCACCUGCGCCCGCCGGUCACCCGGCCACCGCCAGCGCCGCCGCCCGGCGCGCCCCUCCCCUCCGCCGGGGCCGGAGCGUGAACCGGGUUAAUGAAUGCUAAUUUUCUUAAUCGGCCUCCGUCUCUUCCUCCUCCGCGAGUCGUCGGCCUGGGGAAGGAGUAGGCGACAGGAAA
rnacentral:lncRNA from 1 species